rnacentral:lncRNA from 1 species
UCUGUAUCUUCUGCAAACUUUGGUUCUUUCCAAAGUAAACCAUAAACUUUCGCAGACGAGUCAUAUUAUGUGAAAAGAGCUUCCGUAAUAUACAGACAGUAUUAUAAAAGGGAAAUGCUUUGAUCUCUAGAAUGGUCUCUAGGUAUCGGCGGAUGUCCCUGGCCCUGUUUGUACGGACAGCAAUCAAUAGGCAGGUCCGGGAUAAGUGGUUUUUUUGAAUCAGUUUUCCUAUGACUUGAGGGAUUGAACAUAUUUCUUUGUAGUCAUCUAAAAGGAAUAAGACCUGAUUCUUUAACUGCUGGAUAAUGUUCCUCAUGCACAUUUCAGUAACAGAUCCUUCUUUCUCUAGGAGCUGGUCACAGAUGAUACUGGCCAGCCCCUCGUCUGGUCUGGUGGAACUAAGGGAGAGGUAGAAAACCAGCUGGAACCUGUUUAACAGGGGACAGCAUCCAGAUGCCCACAGAAAAGCUAUUUUCUUCAGGAGGACCGUCUUUCCACUUCCAGCUUCACCCUCCACACACAUGACAGAGUUCAAGUUGCCAAAGACCUCAGGCAGCACCAGAGGUUCUUGCACAGGUUUGCUGAUGUGUUUUGAAGCAAUAGACAGAUCACAGCCCAGCAAGUGGUCCGUGGCCAGAUCGGAAGAGAUAUCAAGCAAAGACAUGUGGCGGAAACUGGCGCUGGUAUAAGCUGCUCUCAGCUGCUCAUUCAGAUUCUUUGCCUCUUGAAACCACUGGGCUUCACCCUGUGCCAUUUCUGUGGAGAGAAAGAAAGGGGGGCACAACAGGGAUUCAUAGUCACAUCUCCCUCAGUCUGAACGCCAUGCCUUUUCAUUCCAUGAUUCUGCCUGUCUACUACGAAUGUGUUAGGAUUUUCCACAGCCAUCCAUGAUUCCCACAUUGCAAUCAUCUCAUAGGUUUUGGCACAAAAUCGGAAUGUGGAAAGCAUGUGUCCAAAGUGCCACACUUGAAGCAGGGACCUAGACAUAAUGUGUGCUUAUCAUAAGCACCAUGCAUCUCAG